rnacentral:lncRNA from 1 species
AUGAUGGUGAUGUUAAAAGUAAAGACUUUAUCUGCUUCACUUGUAGUUUUAAAAUUACUUUCACAAAAUCAUAAUCAUUAUAUAUGGUUGUUGUGCUUGCAAACGGGUGAUUUUCACCUUCAUGUUGAUAUUAUUAUCAGAAUAUAUCCUUCAAUGUCCUUUUUCACUUUGAAUAUAGGCUUUUGUUUCAAACCUCUACACACGUAUAACUGUCACUACAUGUAUAUAUUCAUUGGCACAUAUUAUUUGUUGUUUAAUGCAUCCAGUACUUCUAUUCUCUUUGCG